UCCUACGGGAGGCAGCAGCAGGGAAUAUUGCGCAAUGAGCGAAAGCUUGACGCAGCGACACCGCGUGUGGGAUGACGGAUCUAGGUUUGUAAACCACUUUCAGGAGGGAAGAAAAUGACGGUACCUCCACAAGAAGCCCCGGCCAACUACGUGCCAGCAGCCGCGGUAAUACGUAGGGGGCGAGCGUUGUCCGGAUUUAUUGGGCGUAAAGAGCUCGUAGGCGGUUCAACAAGUCGGUCGUGAAAGUUCAGGGCUCAACCCUGAAAUGUCGAUCGAUACUGUUGUGACUAGGAUACGGUAGAGGUGAGUGGAAUUCCGAGUGUAGCGGUGAAAUGCGUAGAUAUUCGGAGGAACACCAAUAGCGAAGGCAGCUCACUGGGCCGCUAUCGACGCUGAGGAGCGAAAGCUAGGGGAGCAAACAGGAUUAGAUACCCUGGUAGUCCUAGCUGUAAACGAUGGAUACUAGACGUAGGAACUGGAUUGACGGUUUCUGUGUCGCAGCUAACGCGUUAAGUAUCCCGCCUGGGGAGUACGGUCGCAAGACUAAAACUCAAAGGAAUUGACGG
rnacentral:rRNA from 1 species